rnacentral:rRNA from 1 species
CCUACGGGAGGCAGCAGUGGGGAAUAUUGGACAAUGGGCGCAAGCCUGAUCCAGCCAUGCCGCGUGGGUGAUGAAGGCCUUMGGGUUGUAAAGCCCUUUCGGCGGGAAGAUAAUGACGGUGACCCGGAGAAGAAGCCCCGGCUAACUUCGUGCCAGCAGCCGCGGUAAU